CUCUCCCCUCAAUUCCCUUCUCAUCUUCACCUCUCUCCACUCCUCCCAAAUAGGAAAAAUCCUAAUUCCGUAGUUGGCCACCGCUUUCCAAGACCCCCAUGCGAGAAUCUUUCUCUUUUCAUCAUCCAUCGAUCCAUGAGAUCGAAAAAUCAGAAAAAUCUAUUAAUGGCUUCCAAAAAGUUGAAUAUUUUUCAGAAAAUUGGGAUUCAAAUUUUGAAUUUCUCCUAGAUUUUCUUUAAACUGUUUUCAAAUUUGUACUUUGAAAUCCAGAUUUUCAGGCUAUAAAUAGCCGAACUUCGUCCCCAUGGAAGCAACAGCAAGAGAGGUGAAAAGAAGGCUAAAAGAGGGGUUUUUGAACACACCAAAAAUCCGUGAGAAAUAAAAGGAAAUUUGGGAGAGAAAAACAGAGGGAAAUAAAAAAAAUGAGCAAAAUUUUUGAGUCCUCGUGGUUGAUUUCAUCAUCGAAAAGUAUCUUGACGUGAAAGCCCUUAGUUUCUGCCCGAAAAAAGGUGUGAAUGUCCCCAUUCCAGCUCCACCUUCUCUUCAUCUCAUUUUAUUUUUUUAUUAUUUGUGACAUGUUGUUUCUGUCAUUAAAUUUUUUUGUGGUUGUCAUGCUUGUUUUUGUGAACAAGUAUUUUGCCUAUAUUUGAUAUUGUACCUAUGUGCAUACAAAAUCAUGGGUAUGAAAUAUAUGACAUGGCUUAGUUUUAAUUUUAGUUAUAAUAUUGUUGCCGUUGUUUUGGUGUUAUGGACGAAAGUGUGAUUACUUUUGGUGUUUCUUUAGUAUGUUGACAAUGUGGGUUUUUUUCGCUCAAAGUCAAGUGGAAUUGUUGUUUUGCACUCUUCAACUCUUUUUUGUUCACCUCGUUUGAUUUUUAAAGGUGCAAUUCGAUUUUGAUUUUAAUAUUUUGUUAAUACUAUUUUGUCAUCUUUGCGAAUAAGAAAAUAAAACACUGGAUUUGCUUUGCGAUUUUACAUUGUGUUUGAGUAUAGACGUGCGUGAAGCGCGGGGCAUGUACUAUUCCUACGUACAUGGAUAUUUGGGUCUUAGCAUAUGUGUAUAUGUUGUGUUUAUUGUAUAAAUUCAUAUUCUAGUUGUCGAAUUAAGUUGUGUCAUUUGGAUCGAAAUCUGUUUGGUCUUGGGUUAUGUUCUGAUGUUGGUAUUAUGGUUUUAAAUUUGUGCAAAAUUUAUAGUGCAGCACAGUUCGAAUCUUGCAUGACAUAAGUAUAAAGAAAUUUGGAGAAAUUGCAAGGGUUAUUGUAAUUUCUCCUUUCAAGAUUCGAUGCUACAUAUGUAAUGGUUGUGUAUAUUUGUGUGUUGAUAGGUUAGUAGCAGUGGAAAGAUUAUUAAGUCAAAUGAGAUGGAGGCUUUUAUAAUGAUCAAAUCACUAACUAGUUCAUCAAACAAUGUGAAUAUGUAGUAAGUCACUCUUGUUUCCACGGUGGUUUCGAGUUUUUUUUUUCACAAUCUUGUUGGUUAUUGCAGAUUCGGUAUGAAUUUUAUUUAAUGUCAAAUCGAAGAUUUUCCUAAAAAAAAAUGGAUGUAAAGAUAUUGCACUCACAUCUUUAAGUUUACAUUAUAAUUUUAAGGUUGAUCUUUCUUUAUCAUUAGGCAUAUGUGUGUGUAUAUCAUGUUAUGCUUCCAAAGUAAUUGCGCUGGGUUUAUUAUUAACAUUCUUUAAAGGAAAAAAGAAGUUUAUUGAAGAUUCUACUAGGUUCAAAGCAUCUCAUUAUUUUUGGAUAUUUUACAAUGGUAUGUUAGUCAUAUUUUCCAUGAUAAUUGGUUUAUUUUAUAUGCACCAUACGCCCUGCCAUUACUAGUGUCCCCUCUUUAGAAUUUGUUAAAGUUUGGUUAUAGGUAGAAAUGUUUUAUCAUACUUUGAUAUUUAGAUGCUUCUUUUGGGUGUUUUGUCAGAUCCUUAUUUUUUCUUAGUUAAAAUGUAUAAAUUGUUUAGAGCAUCAGCUUCAUAUUUGGCACAUAUCUCUUUUUAUUAGUUACUAAUCCUUAUUUUUAUUUUUUGCAUGAAAUUCGAGAGUUGGAGUUUCACAACGGAACUCAGUUUUGACCUAAGCAUUAGGUCAAUCAUCACUAGGAUUGCAGAGCCUCGAAGUACCGCAAAUUAGGAGCCUAAGCUCCUAAACCAAAUUUAUUAUUCUUUAU
rnacentral:lncRNA from 1 species